rnacentral:rRNA from 1 species
GACGAACGCUGGCGGCGUGCUUAACACAUGCAAGUCGAACGGGAGUAUUGAAGAAGCUUGCUUUAGAGAUACUUUAGUGGCGGACGGGUGAGUAACGCGUGAGGAGCUGUCCGAUGCAGGGGGACAACAGUUGGAAACGACUGCUAAUACCCCAUAAGCCGAGAGGUAAAAAGGAUUUAUCCGGCAGAGGAGGUACUCGCGUCCUAUCAGCUAGUAGGUGAGGUAACGGCUCACCUAGGCGAAGACGGGUAGCCGGCCUGAGAGGGCGAACGGCCACACUGGAACUGAGAUACGGUCCAGACUCCUACGGGAGGCGAGCAGUGGGGAAUAUUGGGCAAUGGGGGGAACCCUGACCCAGCGACGCCGCGUGGGUGAAGAAAUCCUUCGGGAUGUAAAGCCCUGUUGUAUGGGAAGAGCGGAAGACGGUACCAUACGAGGAAGCCCCGGCAAACUACGUG